UACGGGGGGAGCAAGCGUUGUUCGGAUUUACUGGGCGUAAAGGGCGCGUAGGCGGCCACUGCAAGUCGGUUGUGAAAUCUCCGGGCUUAACCCGGAAAGGUCAAUCGAUACUGCAGGGCUAGAGUGCGGAAGGGGCAACUGGAAUUCUCGGUGUAGCGGUGAAAUGCGCAGAUAUCAGGAGGAACACCAAUUGCGAAGGCAGCUCGCUGGGACGUUACUGACGCUGAGACGCGAAAGCGUGGGGAGCAAACAGG
rnacentral:rRNA from 1 species